GACGAACGCUGGCGGCGUGCUUAACACAUGCAAGUCGAACGAUGAAGCUAGAGCUUGCUCUGGUGGAUUAGUGGCGAACGGGUGAGUAACACGUGAGUAACCUGCCCCGAACUCUGGGAUAACUGCUGGAAACGGUAGCUAAUACUGGAUACGAUCAACGAAGGCAUCUUCUGUUGGUGGAAAGAAUUUCGGUUCGGGAUGGACUCGCGGCCUAUCAGCUUGUUGGUGAGGUAACGGCUCACCAAGGCGACGACGGGUAGCCGGCCUGAGAGGGUGAUGGGCCACACUGGGACUGAGACACGGCCCAGACUCCUACGGGAGGCAGCAGUGGGGAAUAUUGCACAAUGGGCGCAAGCCUAAUGCAGCAACGCCGCGUGAGGGAUGACGGCCUUCGGGUUGUAAACCUCUUUUAGUAGGGAAGAAGCGAAAGUGACGGUACCUGCAGAAAAAGCACCGGCUAACUACGUGCCAGCAGCCGCCGUAA
rnacentral:rRNA from 1 species